UGCUACCCAUCUGAUGGUUUUGUCUUA
rnacentral:piRNA from 1 species